AUCACGACCUGAGCUGAUGUCGGACGCUCAACCGACUGAGCCACCCGGGCGCCCCAGAAAAGAAAAAAAACCAAAGGAAUAAGGAAGACACGAAGAAUCGAACCAGACGCGGUGUUCGUGUUGACUCCGGUGAGCGAACCCCUGCCAUGCCCCAUGUUCAAGUACAGGCUGACGCAGAGCUAACCCAGACGUCCAGCAGCAGUUGGACGGUGAUAUCUCAGGUCAUUUAUGUGUCUGAACUUCUAUGACAAAUAUAUUUCUACAAUGUU